AGCGGCGCACGGGUGAGUAACGCGUACGUGACCUACCUUUAAGACUGGGAUAGCCCUGGGAAACUGGGAUUAAUACCGGACGUGAUAAUAUGUAUAGAGAUGUAUUAUUAAAGUUGAGGGGCUUAGAGAUGGGUGUGCGUCUGAUUAGCUAGUUGGUAGGGUAACGGCCUACCAAGGCGACGAUCAGUAGGGGGCGUGAGAGCGUGGCCCCCCACACGGGUACUGAGACACGGACCCGACUCCUACGGGAGGCAGCAGUAAGGAAUAUUGGUCAAUGGACGGAAGUCUGAACCAGCCAUCCCGCGUGCAGGAAGAAGGUCCUAUGGAUUGUAAACUGCUUUUAGCAGAGACGAAGACCUUUCAUUUAUGAGAGAGUGGCGGUAUCUGCGGAAUAAGCACCGGCUAACUCCGUGCCAGCAGCCGCGGUAAUACGGAGGGUGCAAGCGUUAUCCGGAAUCACUGGGUUUAAAGGGUGCGUAGGCGGGAGAUUAAGUCAGUGGUGAAAGCCUGUAGCUUAACUACAGAAUUGCCAUUGAUACUGAUUUUCUUGAAUUGGGUUGAGGUUAGCGGAAUGUGACAUGUAACGGUGAAAUGUUUAGAUAUGUCAUGGAACACCGAUUGCGAAGGCAGCUAGCUGGGCCUUGAUUGACGCUGAGGCACGAAAGCGUGGGUAGCGAACAGGAUUAGAUACCCUGGUAGU
rnacentral:rRNA from 1 species